AGCGUGCCAGAAGGUGGAGCAGUAUUUCCUCACUAAAAUCACAAUUAGUCCUACUGCACAGCAUACUAAUCUCUCUUAACAGUAUAGUCGUGUCCAGUCUUUCAAGCGUAGCUGAACGUCAGUCUGAGGUCUUUUCUUAAUUUUGCAGGGGCUUUCUGUACUGUUGGAUGCACCUAGAAAAAUAGACGGAGAGAAUACAGGUUUAGGACCAAACACUUGGAAUCUCUCAUCAAAUCGUGUGGAGACCUUAAGCUGGACGGGUUUCUGUUUUUCCCUGACCUUUGACCUGGACCUGGUGGAGGACUUGGAUGGUCAGGAGCUGGCCUCUGAUCACCUCUACUGCCUUGUCGUCUAAAAAGUCAGCUCCCAUGCAGCUGGGCUGGAGAAGGGAAUCUGCAGAAGGGCUGCCCCUCAUUCCCUGCCUAUGGGACCUUGUAGCCAGCGCAAACACCCCCUGCAGAGGAGCGUCAGGCAGUGGAACAGCCGUAGAUGGGUUC